CCUGCCAGCCCCGCCCGCCCCGCGCGCCCAGCCCACUCGGCUCCAGAGCGGAUGCUGGGGGAGGCGGCUGCAGCCGUGGCUGCGCAGCGGGAGCGCAGAGAAGCCAAGGACCGGGAGGCAGGAUGCCGGCGCUCCACAGCCCGAGACUGUGUUUCCUGUGAGUCCAGAUGUGUGAUCCAGAUGUGCUGCAAUGGUGACAUAAACUGUUGACUGAGACUAGGAGCGUGCCUAAAACUCCAUCCCUCCUCCUAUUUUUUUUUUAAUGGUGCUUCUAUUGGAAUAGUUAACGAAGUGCAUCCACCAUGAGUUUUAUCAUGAAACCUCACAGACACUUUCAAAGAACACUGAUUCUGCUUGCCACAUUUUGUAUGGUAAGCAUCAUUAUUUCUGCUUACUACCUGUACAGCGGCUACAAACAGGAAAGCGAAGUCUCCGGGCGGGCUUCGGAAGUGGACUGUGGUGAUCUCCAGCACAUACCAUCCAGGCUGAUGGAGGUGAGGAGGACAAUGAUUUCUGAUGCUUCGAGGACAGACCCCACAGUCCUGGUGUUUGUGGAGAGCCAGUACUCAUCCCUUGGCCAAGACAUCAUUAUGAUGCUAGAAUCCAUCCGGUUCCAUUAUCACACUGAAAUCGCUCCUGGAAAAGGAGAUCUCCCGGCGCUAACAGACAAUGUGAAAGGCAAAUAUGUUCUCAUUAUAUAUGAGAAUAUUCUAAAGUAUAUAAACAUGGACUCUUGGAAUAGAAGCCUCUUAGAUAAAUACUGUAUAGAGUAUGGUGUGGGUAUCAUUGGAUUCCACAAAACCAGUGAGAAAAACUUACAGAGCUUUCAGUUCAGGGGCUUCCCCUUUUCCAUAAGUGGAAACCUGGCAGUAAAAGAUUGCUGUAUUAAUCCUCACUCCCCACUCCUUCACGUGACCAAGUCCUCCAAGCUGGACAGAGGUUCUUUACCUGGAACUGACUGGACAGUUUUUCAGAUUAACCACUCCACCUACCAGCCAGUAAUAUUUGCCAAAGUUAAGACGCCAGAGAACCUGUCUCCUCCCGUCUCUAAACAAGCAUUUUAUGCCACUAUCAUACAUGACCUGGGGCUUCAUGACGGGAUCCAGCGAGUUCUUUUUGGCAACAACUUGAACUUUUGGCUGCACAAGCUCAUCUUCAUAGAUGCCAUCUCCUUCUUGUCGGGGAAGAGGCUGACACUGUCCUUGGACAGGUACAUCCUUGUGGACAUUGACGACAUAUUUGUGGGGAAGGAAGGCACGAGGAUGAACACCAAUGAUGUGAAGGCCCUGCUUGACACUCAGAAUCUUUUGCGCACACAAAUCACAAAUUUUACAUUCAACCUUGGAUUUUCAGGGAAGUUUUAUCACACAGGAACUGAAGAGGAAGAUGAAGGGGAUGAUUGCCUGCUGGGGUCUGUGGAUGAGUUCUGGUGGUUUCCUCACAUGUGGAGUCACAUGCAGCCCCACCUCUUCCACAAUGAGUCAUCUUUAAUAGAGCAGAUGAUUCUCAACAAAAAGUUUGCCUUAGAGCACGGCAUUCCUACCGACAUGGGGUACGCAGUGUCCCCUCACCAUUCAGGUGUCUACCCUGUCCACGUUCAGCUUUAUGAGGCCUGGAAGAAGGUUUGGAAUAUUAAAAUCACCAGCACUGAAGAAUAUCCACAUCUGAAACCAGCUCGAUAUCGGAGAGGUUUCAUCCACAAAAACAUCAUGGUUCUCCCAAGACAAACCUGUGGACUCUUCACACACACAAUUUUCUACAAGGAGUAUCCAGGGGGCCCCAGGGAACUGGACAAGAGUAUUCAUGGAGGGGAGCUCUUCUUCACCGUGGUUCUCAACCCUAUCAGCAUUUUCAUGACCCAUUUGUCUAACUAUGGAAACGACAGACUGGGACUAUAUACAUUUGUGAAUCUAGCCAAUUUCGUGCAGACCUGGACCAACCUGCGUCUUCAGACACUGCCUCCAGCUCAGCUGGCUCACAAGUAUUUUGAGCUCUUUCCUGAUCAGAAAGACCCUCUCUGGCAGAACCCCUGUGAUGACAAACGCCACAGAGACAUUUGGUCUAAAGAAAAAACCUGCGAUCGGUUACCAAAAUUCUUGGUAAUAGGACCCCAGAAAACUGGUACCACUGCCUUGUGUCUGUUCCUGAUUAUGCAUCCUUCCAUCCUUAGUAACUCCCCCAGCCCAAAAUCCUUUGAGGAGGUACAUGGAUUUCUUCCCAGUCCCAUCUAAUGUCACCACUGACUUUCUGUUUGAGAAGAGUGCUAAUUACUUCCAUUCAGAGGAAGCUCCUAAGAGGGCUGCUUCUCUAGUCCCGAAAGCCAAGAUCAUCACCAUACUCAUUGACCCGUCAGACCGAGCGUACUCCUGGUACCAGCAUCAGCGAUCCCAUGAAGACCCCGCAGCUCUGAAAUUUAGCUUCUAUGAAGUGAUCUCUGCUGGACCCAAUGCACCCUGGGAACUCCGAACCCUGCAGAAGAGAUGCCUGGUCCCUGGGUGGUAUGCCAGCCACAUCGAGAGAUGGCUUGUUUAUUUCCCUCCAUUUCAGUUGCUAAUCAUCGACGGGCAGCAGCUAAGAACCGCCCCUGCGACCGUGAUGGAUGAAGUCCAGAAGUUUCUAGGCGUCUCACCUCAUUAUAAUUAUUCUGAAGCUUUAACGUUUGAUUCUCAUAAAGGCUUCUGGUGUCAACUGCUGGAAGAAGGAAAAACAAAAUGCCUUGGGAAGAGUAAAGGAAGAAAAUACCCGCCGAUGGACUCUGAUAGCAGAGCGUUUCUGUCCAGCUACUACCGCGACCACAACGUGGAGCUCUCGAAGCUGCUGCACAGGCUGGGGCAACCUCUGCCCUCGUGGCUGAGACAGGAACUGCAGAAAGUGAGGUAGCAUGAAGAAGACAAGAAUCUGCCUGCGUACUGGCACAGACCUCAUCCAGCGCUCACAGACGCUACCAAAAAGCUGUCAAUCACAUACCUCUGCAUCACAGAAAAGAAGCGAGACUCUUCCAUGUGCUGGCAUAUGGAUGACUGUGGAGGGUCGGGCAUAAAAAGUAUCUUUAAGAAGCUCCCAGGCUUAUGGCUGUCCUCUUAACCCAUAUCUGAUUCAUGUGGAACAGCAACCAGCAUAAAUUUUAAAACAAAACAAAAACCAGAAACACUCACACAGACAUGUUCCAUUUCAUAGUAAUAUUUACAAUUUUGUAUCUCAGCUACAGUUGUAUUUCUGUAGAUAGAUUUCUGAACCAUUGUUUGACUGUAAAAUGUUUUCUUACUUGAUUCUGUGAAGUAUCCUAUAAACAUGACGACGUCGAUUUCCAAAAGUGUGAAAAAUGCUGCCAGCAUAGGCUGUGGUUGUGCGAGAGAACAGGAAUGGGGAGCAGUCUGUGGACUUUGUCUCCCAAAAGAGACAAAGAACAGAGAAGCAAAGGAGGUGGUUCUCCUUGUACACAGUCCAGUGCGCUCAUGCUGAUAUAGCUAUGUAUUGUAAACAUGGCAGACAGGAAACAGAAACCCAUUUUUACAUCAAGAUAGUGAAUGUUAGUGGAAGAAUAUUGACUAAAUCCUCUAAGAGAGAGAUGGUGAGCAUCUACAGAUACACCACUGAGAACUCUUUGCUUUUCUGCUGUAAGCUGCUGGUCUGUUCUGGCCACCUCCAGUUGUACCAAAAUGCAUGUGGAGUCUGCAGGAAGUGUUCUCUCUGAGUCAUAGCAACCUUUAAAUGUGCAGAGCAAAGGCCAGAGAAAUGGCUCCGUGGUUGAGGGCACUGACUGUUCUUCUAAAGGACCCAGGUUCAAAUCCCAGCACCCAUAUGGUAGCUCUAACUGCCUGUAACUCCCAAGAUCUGACACUCUCACAUAGACAAACAUGCCGGCAAAACACCAAUGCACAUAAAAUAAAGGUUAAAAAAUUUUAAAGUCUUCAUAAAUAUGCAGAAUAGCUACUGAACAAACGCUACUAGCUAAAAGCUAAGGACAGUUCCUUGAGGUGUUUAAUUGAAGUACUCAGAUUUAAAUUAUUGCAAAACUGCGUUUUUCCAUGCAAUCCCAAAGAAAGUUGUGUAAUAUACUGGCUUUUGUGACAAUGGACUCAUAUAUAAAUUUUCAUCUACUAUAUAAAAUGAUGGUUGUGCUUCAAGGUGGAGCGAGCAGGUAAAGUCCCAUGUUUGAGAAUGCCUCACAUAUUGUCCAUAUCUUUGCCCAACAGCAGAGCAUCGUCAACUGUAUGAACUGUCUACGGUAAGAAUCACAGGGAGUACAAGGAUGAGCUUGGCUCUCGAAAUAUAAUUUAAAUUAGACACAUGAUGAGUCACGGAUUCAAAACAAGAGUACAGUAGAUCACACUUCCCUGUGUUAACAUAGACUUAAUUUUAUUGUAAUUGACACAUAUGUAAAUAUAAGGAGAACAUUACUCGCUGUGAUUGCACACACUCCUAUAAAGAAUUCUAGAAGGUAUGUUUAGAAAAACGAUAUGCCAGAAAACCAAUGGCCUGAAUAGUUCUAUCUGUCAUUCCAAUGCAUAAAACUCUACCCUUGCAGCUAUUUGCCCAUUAAAAAACAAGAGUGAAGUGCCCCCGCUCUCUACUUAUUUCCUUACAUCCUUAUUUCUAGAAUUAUUGAUUUCUCUAUUUAAAGUUUUCCCAUCAUUGAUGAACUCAAAGAAUACAGUGAUUUUUUUUUUUAAGCACUUACCAGAAAGAGUUGGCUAAACAACCAAAUUUUAAGAACCCUGACUGAGAGGCCAAAUCAAAAUACAGUGAAAUGAGUCUUCCCUCUUAUGACUGCCACUUUGAAAGCAACACCUGCCAAGCCCAGCAGGACAAUCAUCCCUCACAUCCGCAGCCAUUAAUUUAAGAAAAUUGGCUCAAGGGGUCGUAAGACCCAACAGCUCCAGCUGUUUGUCUCACUGGUGACAACAUGUCAGCUCAGGAAUCAAGUGGGGAAAUAAGCUGACAUAUGUCUCCACCUUUGAACCUCUAGAUAAAUUGGCUACUGACAUCCUUUAAUGUAGGGAGACAGUGCCUGUAAAAUAAAUGGCAAAAAUAGCACUUAUAAUGAAUGAGAAAAAAAGAGACGGUACCCAGACCUGCUCACUCCCAAGUACAUGUCAGAUGCCAUGUAGGACAGCAACCCUUUCAAAGGGUUUUGACCACUAGGCAUGUCAAAGAGGCAGCUCCAAAUUCUGGAGGACACCCACGUUUCACACUGUGAGCUCCAGCUGGCUAUUAUGCUAUCCUGAAAGCGACAGAAGUCUGGGAGAAAAGAAUGGGAAAGAACAUGAUUCCAAACUAGCUUUGUAUAGAAUUCCCUUUUUCAUGACUUAUAAUACGGGGCUUCCUCAGGAAGAAAUGAAAUGGUUAUUUCAAUGUUUAUAGCUAUAAUAUUCUUGUCAUUCACAUUGAAUGAAAAUUAUUGGGAACAUUUUUUUUCUCUGGGUUUUUUAAAAGAAAAAAACCCUCUAUAUAAUUCUAAAAGUGGCAUGAUACCUCAUAUGUAUAACAAUAAACUGGUAAGAAAAUAGA